rnacentral:rRNA from 1 species
UACCAGCACCCCGAGUGGUCGGGGCGAUUAUUGGGCCUAAAGCAUCCGUAGCCGGUUCUACAAGUCUUCCGUUAAAUCCACCUGCUUAACAGAUGGGCUGCGGAGGAUACUAUGGAGCUAGGAGGCGGGAGAGGCAAGCGGUACUCGAUGGGUAGGGGUAAAAUCCGUUGAUCCAUUGAAGACCACCAGUGGCGAAGGCGGCUUGCCAGAACGCGCUCGACGGUGAGGGAUGAAAGCUGGGGGAGCAAACCGG